rnacentral:rRNA from 1 species
UACGUAGGGCGCAAGCGUUAUCCGGAAUUAUUGGGCGUAAAGAGCUCGUAGGCGGUUUGUCGCGUCUGCCGUGAAAGUCCGGGGCUCAACUCCGGAUCUGCGGUGGGUACGGGCAGACUAGAGUGAUGUAGGGGAGACUGGAAUUCCUGGUGUAGCGGUGAAAUGCGCAGAUAUCAGGAGGAACACCGAUGGCGAAGGCAGGUCUCUGGGCCAUUUCUGACGCUGAGGCGCGAAAGCGUGGGGAGCAAACAGG